rnacentral:rRNA from 1 species
UAGCGGCAGGCUUAAUACAUGCAAGUCGAACGGGAUUCAGGUAGCAAUACUUGAUGAGAGUGGCGCACGGGUGCGUAACACGUAUGCAACCUACCUUUAACUGGUGAAUAGCCCCGGGAAAUCGGGAUUAAUACACCAUAACAUUACAAGAGGGCAUCCUCUAAUAAUUAAAGAACUUCGGUUAAAGAUGGGCAUGCGGGACAUUAGCUAGUUGGUGAGGUAACGGCUCACCAAGGCAACGAUGUCUAGGGGUCCUGAGAGGGUUAUCCCCCACACUGGUACUGAGACACGGACCAGACUCCUACGGGAGGCAGCAGUAAGGAAUAUUGGUCAAUGGGCGCAAGCCUGAACCAGCCAUGCCGCGUGAAAAGGGAAGACGGCGCUAUGCGUUGUAAACUUCUUUUGUCAGGGAAUAAAUGUAGGUACGUGUACUUACUUGAAGGUACCUGAAGAAUAAGCAUCGGCUAACUCCGUGCCAGCCGCAGC